CCUACGGGAGGCUGCAGUGGGGAAUAUUGGACAAUGGGGGGAACCCUGAUCCAGCCAUGCCGCGUGUGUGAAGAAGGCCCUCGGGUUGUAAAGCACUUUCAGUGAGGAAGAACGCCUGGUGGUUAAUACCCAUCAGGAAAGACAUCACUCACAGAAGAAGCCCCGGCUAACUCCGUGCCAGCAGCCGCGGUAAUACGGAGGGUGCGAGCGUUAAUCGGAAUUACUGGGCGUAAAGCGCGCGUAGGUGGCUUGAUAAGCCGGUUGUGAAAGCCCCGGGCUCAACCUGGGAACGGCAUCCGGAACUGUCAAGCUAGAGUGCAGAAGAGGAGAGUAGAAUUCCCGGUGUAGCGGUGAAAUGCGUAGAGAUCGGGAGGAAUACCAGUGGCGAAGGCGGCCUUCUGGACUGACACUGACACUGAGGUGCGAAAGCGUGGGUAGCAAACAGGAUUAGAUACCCUAGUAGUC
rnacentral:rRNA from 1 species